UGGGGAGUAGCCAAGCGGUAAGGCAGCGGCCUUUGGAGCCGCCAUUCAUAGGUUCGAAUCCUAUCUCCCCAG
rnacentral:tRNA from 1 species